GUAUGAAGAUGAUUUCCUUUCUUAUGUGUUAUGCAUUGCAGUUCCCAUGGAGAAGAAAAAUGGAGAGAUUCUAAAAGUAUGAAGAUACUCCUGUGUAUAAUGAGGAAAUCUUGUCAGUGAAUGUUGUUGCAAUUGUGGACCAGGCCAGAGUUGUACUAAACCAACUAAGACACAAUGAGAUACAGGAAUGACACAAUGAGAAACAGGAAACAGGAAAGUGAUGACUGAUCGCCACCUGUUACAAAUUCAUCUAGAAAACUCCCCACAUCCAACAAGAGACAGUCUGACUUCAAAAUCUUCAUUGAAGGCAACUUAAUGGACAAGACAUCCGUCACAUAAAGAUUCACUAAAAUUGGAAUGAUAUACCAAUUUUAACUUUUAACAGACAAAUACAUUAUAGAUUUGAAAAUAGAUUACCCUUAAUAAGUUGGAUGAUUAACAUUUACCUCAACACAGUACAAAGUGCUCAUGUUGAACUAUUGUGAUUGAUCAUAGUCUGUCCUUCAUUUUUAUUAACAGUUUCAUACAGUGUUAACACUUUAGUAUGGGGACUCAUUUUUAGCUCAACUUUUCGAAGAAUAUGGAGAGCUAUACUACUCACCCAAGCGUUGGCGUCGGCGUCACCCCUUGGUUAAGGGUUUGCGUGCAAGCACACAUAGGUUAAUAUCUCAGCAACUACUUGAGGUAUUGCAUUGAGACUUUAUACAAUGGUACUCAACCAUCCAACCUACUUAAUUAACCAAG